GAUUCUCUUUUUCAAUACCUAUUUCAUCAAGCGUUAGUACUCAAACAGGUCUUCUUGUUAGCUGAAGUGUUUGAUUUUUUGUUUUGUGUUUAAAAAGAAUGAAUGCUUUUGGGUUGUUGGAAAGAUGAUGAAUUGAAGCUACACUUUUCUCUCAAGUUUCUCACUUAAGAACACGAUUUCAAACAGGUUUAGUUUGAGACGGUUUUAUCAAAUUGGUUUUCCCAAGCUUUGUUCGAGUCUGAGAUUCUGCCCGAAAUUGUCAUCCGUUGUUAGUGUUCAAGUUUCGUGGAGAAGAUCGAUUUCCUACUCGUCCCCUUCCAGUUCACUGCCUGAAGAAAGGUGCUGCAAUAUGCAAUAUUCAAUUCCUCUUAUAUAGCUGUUGCAAUCAGGGAUAAAGUACAAGAAAUUCUUGUAAGAGUUGAACCCUUUUAGAACUGCCUGCACACAGAAAUGGGUUUCCAGAUGGGUUGAUCAGAAAUCAUGGGCUACUUGUGAAUUUGAGUUGCAAGAAUCGUCGGGACAAGAUCCGGAGGUGCAGUUUGAAUGAUCUUUCGAUAUCCUAGGUUACGUUGAUAAAAAAAACAUAUACUUUGAUGUUUUUUGUGUUGAGUUCCCUCUUUUUUCAUGCCUGUUUUGUGCCACUGCUAUCCUGAUUUACAUGUUUGCAUUAGAGUAUCUUCAGAUUACUCUCUUGCUGCCCCUGUUCUUUGGCCUGAAGUGGACUUGGAGUUGGCAUUGAAGAGAAGUAGAAAGUGGUUUAGCUAGCCAAACAAAAUGACAUUGGAAAUGAUAAAAAAGGAAAAUGUCGGUAAUUGAAUUUUGAUUAGUGGUCAGAAGUAAAUUCGAUCUAUUGUAUUCAUGCUGAAGAAUUUUUUACUAUUAUCAUACUUGUUUAAAUGCCUUUGAUUUUCUGGUAUAUAUUGAUAGUAGAGAUUUUUAAGCAAUCACUUUCUAUGUAUUGGUUGUAGAAGACAUGUUUUCAAAGAUUAUUCAUAAUAUAUAGCUUCGAUUUA